GAAAACUCACCGGCAGUUCAGCUCCCCUCAACCUCAACGCCAAUUCAAACACAGUCUGAAACAUUCCUGUCGCCAGCAUCAGCAGCCUCUGCAGUAAUAUAUAGGGGAUUUACUAAGGAACAAGUGAUGGCGGAACUAUCCUUCCAGAAAAAUUACAAAAAAGGCAGGUCAAGGUUAUUUAGAAUGCUCUUCUCCAAAGAAGAAUGGAUUGGCAGAUCCCUCAAUGGGCAAAAGGGGUGUAAUAAUGAAGUGAGGCCAGCCCUAGAAAAUAGGGAAAAACAAAAAGUUUUGGAAGAUUGUGUGAAAGAGCAGUGGCGGGAUUGUUCCCUGGAUGAAAUACGGACAGUUAUUAGGCACAUCCUAAAGCCAUCUAGGAACACAAAAAAGUUGGGACUAAUGAACAAUACUGUAUAAUUUUUGAAGGAAGUGUAAAUAUUUGGAUUGGUAAAAAGAAAUAGCAAAAAGGAGAAUGGUUAUUUUGUUGUAUUUUAUUCCAUGUGAAGGUUUACCUUGUUUUUUUUUAAUGCUAUCUACAGGAUCAAAAACAGUGGCAUUUAGUGGCAAUUAAUGGCAAAAAUCAUCAAGAAUGCCAGGGCAAAUGCUGGCGUUCAGUGGAAAAUGUUCCAGUAUGCCACUUACAGUGGUAUAUGCUGAAAACCAGUGCCACUGUCAUCUUGGUGGCAAACAGUGGCAACUUUGCAGUGGCGAAAAGUGGAAAGUGUUCCAAUACUCCAUUGAUAGUGGCAAUCACUGUACAACAGUGGAACUUUUUUACACCAAAUGCCAUGGUAAUACUAAUGGCAAAUGCUGGCAAUUUCGCAGUGGCAAACAGUGGAAAGUGUUCCAAUACUCCAGUGAUAGUGGCAGUCACUGUAAAAUAGGUGAUUUUUUUUACACCAAAUGCCACAAAAAUAUUGUUGGCAAAUGAUGGCAAUUUUGAACUGGCAUUUAGUGGAAAACUCUUCCUAAUUACUCCAUCAGCAGUGUCAUUCAGUGGAAAUUAGUGAUUUUUUUUAAAGAUCAUCUUUUCAGUCCCCCAUUUUUUCAAUGUUUUACACUGAUUUCCACAAAGAUGCUUGUUCCAAUACUCCACUGUUUGCCACUGAUUUUCAAGUGGCUAACAGUGGCAUAUUUACAGAAGGGUACAGUUUAUGCGUUAGCUGAACAUUUUUAUUGACUCCUUUAGAUGCCUUUUUCAAGCCGCUGUCAGUCAUAACACUGUAGCAUUUCGGCGAGAGUCCACAAAACUCCAUACAAACUUGUGAGCCCAGCUCAAGCUUUACCUUUCCGGGCACUAGUCGGUUACUGUCGUCUUUCAGGAGGUGGCCAUCUGGGAGGUUCGAAAAAUCGAAGAGCGGUUUAUUUUCUCUCAGUAUUUCGUCUACCUGCUGAAACCCUGUGAAUUGUACCAGCAGUCCGUCUGUGUCACACAUUAGGAGUUCGGUUUUCCGGCCCGAUUUCGUCGGAAACAUAUGGGGAAGCUGCUUGUAGAAGAAGUCAUAUACCCUUGCCUUGCUGAGUUUGAGUAUGCUUGUGCCUAAAAGUACACAGCUGUUUAACAGAACUUUUGAUGGCGUCAUUUCAACCAGGCAUAAUUCACUGUCUUCUGCUGUAACCCGUACAUAUCCAAAGGACGGCUUGCAAACGAGCUUUUGGAGCUGUUCGGCGUUCUGGCAGACCUCAAUUUGCUGAACAUAUAAUACACAAUUUCAAUUAAUUGAACACUUCCCGCAUUCUGGGUUUCAGCAUACUGUGAAAUCAUUAUUAUCGCGUAGGAUGAAUUUUCACUUAUUCCACACUAGGACUGAUGCGCGAAUUUAAGACAACACGCUAUUAUUAUUUUUUAAUUUCAUUUUUUCAUUUCUAAAAUUGAAAAUGCACAAAUUACAGCCCGUGCAAAACAAUCCUUUUUCACGUUUGCACGAAAUUUCAUGCCAGCAAAUUUAUAUCAUUAACAGUAUGUUUUUAAUGAUUGCAAGACAAGAGUUGUUCAAAUUGUACCCCUGGGGUGAAAAAAAGGCCUUGCCCUGGGGGUCCCAACUUUUACGUAGACUUGUGUAGGAAAAUUAUCAUGACUUGCAUGUUUAUAGGAAAAAAUACUGAAGAAAUAAUCUGAUCGUAUUUCCAAGACUGCUUAAUUAUAAUUACCUAAUGAACCAAGUAAUGUGUGACCUUGAGCUGCUGACCUACUUUCUUGUUUUUUAAGA
rnacentral:lncRNA from 1 species